GCCGGGCAUGGUGACGUGUGCCUGUAAUCCCAGCUACUCGGGAGGCUGAGGCAGGAGAAUCGCUUGAUCCCAGGAGGCGGAGGUUGCAGUGAGCCAAGAUGGCGCCAUUGCACUCCAGCCUGGGCAUCGCAGCAAGACCCCGUCUCAAAAAAAGAAAAGGAGCUGGGGUCUCGUUCUGUCACCCAGGCUGGAGUGCAGUGGCACAAUCAUGGCUCACUGCAACCUCAACCUCCUGGGCUCAAGCAGUCCUCCUUCCUCAG
rnacentral:SRP_RNA from 1 species